rnacentral:rRNA from 1 species
UUAAAUUGAAGAGUUUGAUCAUGGCUCAGAUUGAACGCUGGCGGCAGGCCUAACACAUGCAAGUCGAGCGGUAGCACAAGAGAGCUUGCUCUCUGGGUGACGAGCGGCGGACGGGUGAGUAAUGUCUGGGAAACUGCCUGAUGGAGGGGGAUAACUACUGGAAACGGUAGCUAAUACCGCAUAACGUCUACGGACCAAAGUGGGGGACCUUCGGGCCUCACGCCAUCAGAUGUGCCCAGAUGGGAUUAGCUAGUAGGUGGGGUAAUGGCUCACCUAGGCGACGAUCCCUAGCUGGUCUGAGAGGAUGACCAGCCACACUGGAACUGAGACACGGUCCAGACUCCUACGGGAGGCAGCAGUGGGGAAUAUUGCACAAUGGGCGCAAGCCUGAUGCAGCCAUGCCGCGUGUGUGAAGAAGGCCUUAGGGUUGUAAAGCACUUUCAGCGAGGAGGAAGGGUAGUGUGUUAAUAGCACAUUGCAUUGACGUUACUCGCAGAAGAAGCACCGGCUAACUCCGUGCCAGCAGCCGCGGUAAUACGGAGGGUGCAAGCGUUAAUCGGAAUUACUGGGCGUAAAGCGCACGCAGGCGGUUUGUUAAGUCAGAUGUGAAAUCCCCGCGCUUAACGUGGGAACUGCAUUUGAAACUGGCAAGCUAGAGUCUUGUAGAGGGGGGUAGAAUUCCAGGUGUAGCGGUGAAAUGCGUAGAGAUCUGGAGGAAUACCGGUGGCGAAGGCGGCCCCCUGGACAAAGACUGACGCUCAGGUGCGAAAGCGUGGGGAGCAAACAGGAUUAGAUACCCUGGUAGUCCACGCUGUAAACGAUGUCGAUUUGGAGGUUGUGCCCUUGAGGCGUGGCUUCCGGAGCUAACGCGUUAAAUCGACCGCCUGGGGAGUACGGCCGCAAGGUUAAAACUCAAAUGAAUUGACGGGGGCCCGCACAAGCGGUGGAGCAUGUGGUUUAAUUCGAUGCAACGCGAAGAACCUUACCUACUCUUGACAUCCAGAGAACUUUCCAGAGAUGGAUUGGUGCCUUCGGGAACUCUGAGACAGGUGCUGCAUGGCUGUCGUCAGCUCGUGUUGUGAAAUGUUGGGUUAAGUCCCGCAACGAGCGCAACCCUUAUCCUUUGUUGCCAGCGAUUCGGUCGGGAACUCAAAGGAGACUGCCGGUGAUAAACCGGAGGAAGGUGGGGAUGACGUCAAGUCAUCAUGGCCCUUACGAGUAGGGCUACACACGUGCUACAAUGGCGUAUACAAAGAGAAGCGAACUCGCGAGAGCAAGCGGACCUCAUAAAGUACGUCGUAGUCCGGAUUGGAGUCUGCAACUCGACUCCAUGAAGUCGGAAUCGCUAGUAAUCGUAGAUCAGAAUGCUACGGUGAAUACGUUCCCGGGCCUUGUACACACCGCCCGUCACACCAUGGGAGUGGGUUGCAAAAGAAGUAGGUAGCUUAACCUUCGGGAGGGCGCUUACCACUUUGUGAUUCAUGACUGGGGUGAAGUCGUAACAAGGUAACCGUAGGGGAACCUGCGGUUGGAUCACCUCCUUACCU